AUUUCACUAUGUUGACACUUUCUAAAAAUCUCCUUAAACCUCUCCCAAGCUUCAAACACAAUUUUAGUCUCGUUCUGGCAGAAGUUAUGGAUUUCUAUUCUAAAGUU
rnacentral:snoRNA from 1 species